rnacentral:rRNA from 1 species
ACAGUCGAGCGGACAGAAGGGAGCUUGCUCCCGGAUGUUAGCGGCGGACGGGUGAGUAACACGUGGGUAACCUGCCUGUAAGACUGGGAUAACUCCGGGAAACCGGAGCUAAUACCGGAUAGUUCCUUGAACCGCAUGGUUCAAGGAUGAAAGACGGUUUCGGCUGUCACUUACAGAUGGACCCGCGGCGCAUUAGCUAGUUGGUGGGGUAAUGGCUCACCAAGGCGACGAUGCGUAGCCGACCUGAGAGGGUGAUCGGCCACACUGGGACUGAGACACGGCCCAGACUCCUACGGGAGGCAGCAGUAGGGAAUCUUCCGCAAUGGACGAAAGUCUGACGGAGCAACGCCGCGUGAGUGAUGAAGGUUUUCGGAUCGUAAAGCUCUGUUGUUAGGGAAGAACAAGUGCGAGAGUAACUGCUCGCACCUUGACGGUACCUAACCAGAAAGCCACGGCUAACUACGUGCCAGCAGCCGCGGUAAUACGUAGGUGGCAAGCGUUGUCCGGAAUUAUUGGGCGUAAAGGGCUCGCAGGCGGUUUCUUAAGUCUGAUGUGAAAGCCCCCGGCUCAACCGGGGAGGGUCAUUGGAAACUGGGAAACUUGAGUGCAGAAGAGGAGAGUGGAAUUCCACGUGUAGCGGUGAAAUGCGUAGAGAUGUGGAGGAACACCAGUGGCGAAAGCGACUCUCUGGUCUGUAACUGACGCUGAGGAGCGAAAGCGUGGGGAGCGAACAGGAUUAGAUACCCUGGUAGUCCACGCCGUAACGAUGAUGCUAGUGUUAGGGGUUUCCGCCCCUUAGUGCUGCAGCUACGCAUUAAGC